rnacentral:rRNA from 1 species
UACGGAGGGUGCGAGCGUUAUCCGGAUUUACUGGGUUUAAAGGGUGUGUAGGCGGGCUUUUAAGUCAGUGGUGAAAUCUUCAGGCUCAACCUGGAAACUGCCAUUGAUACUAUUAGUCUUGAAUACUGUGGAGGUGAGCGGAAUGUGUCAUGUAGCGGUGAAAUGCAUAGAGAUGACACAGAACACCGAUUGCGAAGGCAGCUCACUACGCAGUUAUUGACGCUAAAGCACGAAAGCGUGGGGAGCAAACAGG